rnacentral:piRNA from 1 species
AGUGGUAGACAUGCACUCUACAGGCAUU